rnacentral:rRNA from 1 species
UACGGAGGGGGCUAGCGUUGUUCGGAAUUACUGGGCGUAAAGCGCGCGUAGGCGGUGAUCUUUGUCAGAGGUGAAAGCCCGGGGCUCAACUCCGGAAUUGCCUUUGAAACGGGAUCGCUUGAGUCCGAGAGAGGAUGGCGGAAUUCCUAGUGUAGAGGUGAAAUUCGUAGAUAUUAGGAAGAACACCGGUGGCGAAGGCGGCCAUCUGGCUCGGUACUGACGCUCAGGCGCGAAAGCGUGGGGAGCAAACAGG